rnacentral:rRNA from 1 species
UACAGAGGGGGCAAGCGUUAUUCGGAAUUAUUGGGCGUAAAGGGCGCGUAGGUGGUUUAAAAAGUCUACUGUUAAAAAUUGAAGCUUAACUCCAAAGAUGCCGUAGAAACUUUUAAACUCGAGGAUGGUAGGGGUAGAGGGAAUUUCCAGUGGAGCGGUGAAAUGCGUAGAUCUUGGAAAGACCACCAAUGGCGAAGGCACUCUACUGGGCCAUUACUGACACUAAGAGACGAAAGCUAGGGGAGCAAAUGGG